CUUGGGAUGAGGCCAAAUAUCUUCUGAAUGGCCGGCAAGUGACAUGACAGAGUUACUGCAGAUACCUUAAGAAGCAAACACUGUUAAUGGAAUAUCAGUAACAUUUAUUAGGUUCAGUUAUGAAGGACUUCUGGGCAUUCCAACUGGUGAGCAAUGUCAUCAGACACCAAAAGAAGUUCAAUUAUGGAUUUCUGGGCAGUCAAUCCAUGAGAAAAUACAAACCAGAUUACAUCAAGACUGUUCUAUUCCAGAGAUAGCUUGGAAAAUGGAUAGUAUUGCUGAAGGGAAACCAUCCAUAUACUGUUUCAUGUGUUUAUCAAAUCAUCACUUUUAGUGGCACAUGAAUGUUUGCAACUUCAUUGUAACUUGUGAACACAGUUUCUCAGCAAUCCAAGAAUUUAUUUUGAUGAGAAAUAUACGUUGUUACCUGGGUAAAGGAAAUACAAAUCAGGGUCAAUACAACAACCUUAUUAACAUUCCAAAGAAAAAUGCUAUUCUCUACUGGUACUCUAAAUUCACAUGUGUGACAAAGUUUACUUACCUCUCUCAUUUGUGUUUUAGAUAGCUCUUAUUUUCUGACCCUUCAAAUGGAAUUCUAUGACCUCCACUUGAUCUAUUCCUUAUCAAUUGUAACUAAUUGCUAAGGAAUUAUGAUCGUGUUCAUGGCUUCAACUCCAUUUGUAGUGUCAAUGGUGCCAGAAUUUCCCUUGUCCUCAUAAGCUUUCACCCAUCUUUAAUUACCAAUAGCCACUGCUGUUAAAAAUAUGGCCAUGCAUUUUCGUUUCUCUGAGAAGCCUCAUGCACUGGCGUGGCACAAGUAUAUGAACAUUGCAAUGAGAGAGGUCUUUAUGCCAGGCCCUGUACAAUUAAUAGCAUCUUACUUAAUAAUAUAGCUGGGAACUUGAUGGCACAGUUGUGAGGAGACCAUAAACUUCAGGUCUUGCUAAUUGCAAUUCUGGCUCACAAUUUUUCAGCAGUUAAAAUACUUUUUGUAAUGUUUCACUGUUGCUGCAGUUGUAUGUGAGGUUAUAAACCUGUUUACACAACUCCCUCACCUCAGAUUGCUGCAAAGAAAUGGUAAGGUUUCAACGUCACUCUCUACAGGGUUAUUACAAAUGAUUGAAGCGAUUUCACAGCUCUGCAAUAACUUUAUUAUUUGAGAUAUUUUCACAAUGCUUUGCACACACAUACAAAAACUCAAAAAGUUUUUUUAGGCAUUCACAAAUGUUCGAUAUGUGCCCCUUUAGUGAUUCGGCAGACAUCAAGCCGAUAAUCAAGUUCCUCCCACACUCGGUGCAGCAUGUCCCCAUCAAUGAGUUCGGAAGCAUAGUCGAUGCGAGCUCGCAGUUCUGGCAUGUUUCUUAGUAGAGGAGGUUUAAACACUGAAUCUUUCACAUAACCCCACAGAAAGAAAUCACAUGGGGUUAAGUCGGGAGAGCGUGGAGGCCAUGACAUGAAUUGCUGAUCAUGAUCUCCACCACGACCGAUCCAUCGGUUUUCCAAUCUCCUGUUUAAGAAAUGCUGAAAAUCAUGAUGGAAGUGCGGUGGAGCACCAUCCUGUUGAAAGAUGAAGUCGGCGCUGUCGGUCUCCAAUUGUGGCAUGAGCCAAUUUUCCAGCAUGUCCAGAUACAAGUGUCCUGUAACGUUUUUUUCGCAGAAGAAAAAGGGGCCGUAAACUUUAAACCAUGAGAUUGCACAAAACACGUUAACUUUUGGUGAAUUGCGAAUUUGCUGUACGAAUGCGUGAGGAUUCUCUACCGCCCAGAUUCGCACAUUGUGUCUGUUCACUUCACCAUUAAGAAAAAAUGUUGCUUCAUCACUGAAAACAAGUUUCGCACUGAACGCAUCCUCUUCCAUGAGCUGUUGCAACCGUGCCGAAAAUUCAAAGCGUUUGACUUUGUCAUCGGGUGUCAGGGCUUGUAGCAAUUGUAAACGGUAAGGCUUCUGCUUUAGCCUUUUCCGUAAGAUUUUCCAAACUGUCAGCUGUGGUACGUUUAGCUCCCUGCUUGCUUUAUUCGUCGACUUCCGCGGGCUACGCGUGAAACUUGCCCGCACGCGUUCAACCGUUUCUUCGCUCACUGCAGGUCGACCCGUUGAUUUCCCCUUACAGAGGCAUCCAGAAGCUUUAAACUGCACAUACCAUUGCCGAAUGGAGUUAGCAGUUGGUUGAUCUUUGUUGAACUUCGUCCUGAAGAGUCGUUGCACUGUUAUGACUGCCUGAUGUGAGUGCAUUUCAAGCACGACAUAUGCUUUCUCGGCUCCUGUCGCCAUUUUGUCUCACUGCGCUCUCGAGCGCUCUGGCGGCAGAAACCUGAAGUGCGGCUUCAGCCGAACAAAACUUUAUGAGUUUUUCUACGUAUCUGUAGUGUGUCGUGACCAUAUGUCAAUGAAUGGAGCUACAGUGAAUUUAUGAAAUCGCUUCAAUCAUUUGUAAUAGCCCUGUAUAUUUGUUUCCGAAAUUGCAUCCUCAAUGCUACUGUCUUUGAAGCCAAACCCAUUUACCUCAUCAAGGCAGAUUUAUUGGGCUACUCCUGUAGUUUUCUGGUAUUUUAUCAAAACCAUGGUCCAGAUAGAAAACAAAGAUUGCACAGAAAUGUUUGCAUGGGUAAUUAUACAUCAGAAAUUCUUCAUGUGUGCAGUUUGUUAGAGCAUAGCUUACAGCACAAUUACAGGCUUUGCACAUUGCACUCUCCACACAAAACAAUCCUUAUGAUCUCAUAUUCACUGAUCCUGUGUGACAAAGCAAACUGGGAUAAUUUCAAUUCCCCUCUUGUUUUGCCAUCUGCCUCCUUAAACUCGUUUUGUUACUUUUAACUAAUUAUCAUUAACAUAGAUGAAUAUAAUCUGCAAUUCCAUAAAAGAGAAAGAUUUGUUCUUAGUUUUAAAGAAUAUAACACCAGAUCGAAUUCUGUGCUUAGAUUUAUGUAUGUAACUGAUUUUCUAAUUUAUUUCGACUAUUCCUAGCUAGUAUUGUUUG